rnacentral:tRNA from 1 species
GCCUGGGUGGCUCAGUCAAUAGAGCAUGGGAUUCUUAAUCUUGGGUUAUGGGUUCAAACCUCAUGUUGAGCG